rnacentral:rRNA from 1 species
GGGCGUAAGCGCACGCAGGCGGUCUGUCAAGUCGGAUGUGAAAUCCCCGGGCUCAACCUGGGAACUGCAUCCGAAACUGGCAGGCUAGAGUCUUGUAGAGGGGGGUAGAAUUCCAGGUGUAGCGGUGAAAUGCGUAGAGAUCUGGAGGAAUACCGGUGGCGAAGGCGGCCCCCUGGACAAAGACUGACGCUCAGGUGCGAAAGCGUGGGGAGCAAACAGGAUUAGAUACCCUGGUAGUCCACGCCGUAAACGAUGUCGACUUGGAGGUUGUGCCCUUGAGGCGUGGCUUCCGGAGCUAACGCGUUAAGUCGACCGCCUGGGGAGUACGGCCGCAAGGUUAAAACUCAAAUGAAUUGACGGGGGCCCGCACAAGCGGUGGAGCAUGUGGUUUAAUUCGAUGCAACGCGAAGAACCUUACCUACUCUUGACAUCCAGAGAACUUAGCAGAGAUGCUUUGGUGCCUUCGGGAACUCUGAGACAGGUGCUGCAUGGCUGUCGUCAGCUCGUGUUGUGAAAUGUUGGGUUAAGUCCCGCAACGAGCGCAACCCUUAUCCUUUGUUGCCAGCGAUUCGGUCGGGAACUCAAAGGAGACUGCCAGUGAUAAACUGGAGGAAGGUGGGG